rnacentral:tRNA from 1 species
CGGCUCGUAGCUCAAUGGUAGAGCAAUGGACUUAUAAUCCAUAGGUUCUGGGUCCGAGUCCCAGCGGGCCGA